GUAGGGGGCGAGCGUUGUCCGGAUUUAUUGGGCGUAAAGGGCUCGUAGGCGGCUUGACAAGUCGAUCGUGAAAACCCAGGGCUCAACCCUGGGACGCCGGUCGAUACUGUCAUGGCUAGGGUCCGGUAGAGGAGAAUGGAAUUCCCGGUGUAGCGGUGAAAUGCGCAGAUAUCGGGAGGAACACCAGUAGCGAAGGCGGUUCUCUGGGCCGGUACCGACGCUGAGGAGCGAAAGCGUGGGGAGCAAACAGGAUUAGAUACCCUGGUAGUCCACGCCGUAAACGGUGGGUACUAGGUGUGGCGUCUUUAUCAACGGAUGCCGUGCCGAAGCUAACGCAUUAAGUACCCCGCCUGGGGAGUACGGCCGCAAGGCUA
rnacentral:rRNA from 1 species